CCUACGGGUGGCAGCAGUAGGGAAUAUUGCACAAUGGGGGAAACCCUGAUGCAGCAACGCCGCGUGGGGGAAGAAGGUUUUCGGUAUGUAAAGUCCUAUCAUCAGAGAAGAGAAUGACGGUACCUGACUAAUAAGCCCCGGCUAACUACGUGCCAGCAGCCGCGGUAAUACGUAGGGGGCAAGCGUUAUCCGGAUUUACUGGGUGUAAAGGGAGCGUAGACGGGAUUGCAAGUCUGAAGUGAAAGCCAACGGCUUAACCACGGAACUGCUUUGGAAACUGUUUAUCUGGAGUGCGGGAGAGGUAGGUGGAAUUCCUGGUGUAGGGGUAAAAUGCGUAGAGAUCAAGAGGAAUAC
rnacentral:rRNA from 1 species